ensembl:snRNA U6 U6 spliceosomal RNA
GUGCUCUCUUAGGCAGCAUACAUGGUAAAAAGAAACAAUACAGAGAAGAUUAGCAUGACCCCUGCAUAAGGGUGAAUCUCAAAUUUGUGAAUCAUUCCAUAUUGUU